rnacentral:rRNA from 1 species
UGGGGAAUUUUGCGCAAUGGGCGAGAGCCUGACGCAGCAACGCCGCGUGGAGGAUGAAGGUCUUUGGAUUGUAAACUCCUGUCAGCGGGGAAAAAGGGACUGUGGUUAAUACCCAUGGAACUUGAUUGUACCCGCAGAGGAAGCCCCGGCUAACUCUGUGCCAGCAGCCGCGGUAAUACAGAGGGGGCAAGCGUUAUUCGGAAUUAUUGGGCGUAAAGGGCGCGUAGGCGGCCAUUCAAGUGACGGGUGAAAGCCCUCGGCUUAACCGAGGAACUGCCUGUCAGACUGGAUGGCUUGAGACCGGGAGAGGUGAGUGGAAUUCCCAGUGUAGCGGUGAAAUGCGUAGAUAUUGGGAGGAACACCAGUGGCGAAGGCGGCUCACUGGACCGGAACUGACGCUGAGGCGCGAAAGCGUGGGGAGCAAACAG